UUGAUUGAUGGUGCUUGCACCUGAUUGAUUUUGGUCGCCAACGAGUGGCGGACGGGUGAGUAACACGUAGGUAACCUGCCCAGAAGCGGGGGACAACAUUUGGAAACAGAUGCUAAUACCGCAUAACAGCGUUGUUCGCAUGAACAACGCUUAAAAGAUGGCUUCUCGCUAUCACUUCUGGAUGGACCUGCGGUGCAUUAGCUUGUUGGUGGGGUAACGGCCUACCAAGGCGAUGAUGCAUAGCCGAGUUGAGAGACUGAUCGGCCACAAUGGGACUGAGACACGGCCCAUACUCCUACGGGAGGCAGCAGUAGGGAAUCUUCCACAAUGGGCGCAAGCCUGAUGGAGCAACACCGCGUGAGUGAAGAAGGGUUUCGGCUCGUAAAGCUCUGUUGUUAAAGAAGAACACGUAUGAGAGUAACUGUUCAUACGUUGACGGUAUUUAACCAGAAAGUCACGGCUAACUACGUGCCAGCAGCCGCGGUAAUACGUAGGUGGCAAGCGUUAUCCGGAUUUAUUGGGCGUAAAGAGAGUGCAGGCGGUUUUCUAAGUCUGAUGUGAAAGCCUUCGGCUUAACCGGAGAAGUGCAUCGGAAACUGGAUAACUUGAGUGCAGAAGAGGGUAGUGGAACUCCAUGUGUAGCGGUGGAAUGCGUAGAUAUAUGGAAGAACACCAGUGGCGAAGGCGGCUACCUGGUCUGCAACUGACGCUGAGACUCGAAAGCAUGGGUAGCGAACAGGAUUAGAUACCCUGGUAGUCCAUGCCGUAAACGAUGAGUGCUAGGUGUUGGAGGGUUUCCGCCCUUCAGUGCCGGAGCUAACGCAUUAAGCACUCCGCCUGGGGAGUACGACCGCAAGGUUGAAACUCAAAGGAAUUGACGGGGGCCCGCACAAGCGGUGGAGCAUGUGGUUUAAUUCGAAGCUACGCGAAGAACCUUACCAGGUCUUGACAUCUUGCGCCAACCCUAGAGAUAGGGCGUUUCCUUCGGGAACGCAAUGACAGGUGGUGCAUGGUCGUCGUCAGCUCGUGUCGUGAGAUGUUGGGUUAAGUCCCGCAACGAGCGCAACCCUUGUUACUAGUUGCCAGCAUUAAGUUGGGCACUCUAGUGAGACUGCCGGUGACAAACCGGAGGAAGGUGGGGACGACGUCAGAUCAUCAUGCCCCUUAUGACCUGGGCUACACACGUGCUACAAUGGACGGUACAACGAGUCGCGAACUCGCGAGGGCAAGCAAAUCUCUUAAAACCGUUCUCAGUUCGGACUGCAGGCUGCAACUCGCCUGCACGAAGUCGGAAUCGCUAGUAAUCGCGGAUCAGCAUGCCGCGGUGAAUACGUUCCCGGGCCUUGUACACACCGCCCGUCACACCAUGAGAGUUUGUAACACCCAAAGUCGGUGGGGU
rnacentral:rRNA from 1 species